CGGGCUUAACCUGGGAACUGCAUUUGAAACUGGCAGGCUUGAGUUUUGUAGAGGGGGGUAGAAUUCCAGGUGUAGCGGUGAAAUGCGUAGAGAUCUGGAGGAAUACCGUGGCGAAGGCGGCCCCCUGGACAAAGACUGACGCUCAGGUGCGAAAGCGUGGGGAGCAAACAGGAUUAGAUACCCUGGUAGUCCACGCCGUAAACGAUGUCGACUUGGAGGUUGUUCCCUUGAGGAGUGGCUUCCGGAGCUAACGCGUUAAGUCGACCGCCUGGGGAGUACGGCCGCAAGGUUAAAACUCAAAUGAAUUGA
rnacentral:rRNA from 1 species